rnacentral:tmRNA from 1 species
GGGGAUGUUUUGGAUUUGACAGCGUUGAUGUCGGAUGGUAAGCACGUCGGGCCUCUGAGGGUCGGCCCGUUAAUCUCAGCCUUCGAAAAAUUAGUUGCCAAUAACAACUACGCACUCGCUGCCUAAUUAGACAUGUUCUAGUUGGCUCAAUUCCAGCCGCCAAGGCUGCGGCAGGAACGAGGAUCCCUCGGGUUUGGCCCCCUCGGCCCGAUUAAGGGGUUUCAUCAGACGGGGAUAGGACGGCGGACUCCGCUAUUGCCGUCCGAGAUUUCAGCGGAUAAGCUGUGGCUAGCCCGUCUUUCGGCAGGCCGCGGACGAAAACUAAAGGAAGAAUAAGCGUGUAGAAAGCUGUCUGGUGCGGCGUUUGGACGGCGGUUCGAGUCCGCCCAUCUCCACA